GUUGUAUUAUACAGUUACUUUGAUUUGAUCCUGUUGGAAGGACAAACAAAAAAGCUGGAAAACCAGUUUGAAAAGUAUAGCAGAUAUUCAGGCAAACAACAAUGUGGUGGUGGCUUCUACAAUAAAGAUGGUAAUAAUGGGGAUAAAAGGAAAUAGUUGAAAAAGGCAUUUAGGGUUUCAAGACUGAUUUGUAAUGCAACGUUGUUUUCAAAUUUUGACUAAUCUUGUAGAAUUGUAGUACUACUCUUCAUUGUAUGAAAACCUGAAAGUCCAUUAGUUGUUCUUCAAUACCACAAACAGACUGGCUAUUUGGACUUUUUUCACUUUAGCUAUUUUUAAGAAUAGGACCCACUCAUUUGGGUUACUAUCUAAGAAUUUCAUGGAUUUACUCCUGUAUGCAGGAGGUAAUAAAACAUUUAAUUCAUAAGUUUUAUAUUAACCAAUAUAGUAAAAAAUAAAGCUCACACACAAAAACUAAGUUGCCUUUCCUUGAAUGAAUCCUGCCUGAAUAAAACAAUGAAAUAAAAAUAAAAUUAACGGUAUGUAGUCUAAUUUGUAAAUGAAUGAAUAUUGAAAUAAUACACACUGUGGAUAUCUUUUAAGGCCUUAUGUAGUUUUAAUUGUUCUGCUUGUUCUGUGGUUAUGUCUAAAACUAUAGUAUAUGAUUCUCUACAACGUAUAUCAAGUAUUGUGAAUGCUUUGGUUCAGAUGUGUCAAAUUAACAGUAAAACAACAAAUAUACCAAAAAAAAAAAAAAAAAGGAAAUAGUUGAAAUCAAGAU
rnacentral:lncRNA from 1 species